rnacentral:rRNA from 1 species
AUACGGAGGGAGCAAGCGCUAUUCGGAAUCACUGGGCGUAAAGGACGCGUAGGCGGGUUUGUAAGUCAGGUGUGAAAUCCUACAGCUCAACUGUAGAACUGCACUUGAAACUACAGACCUAGAGUAUGGAAGGGGCAGAUGGAAUUAGUGGUGUAGGGGUAAAAUCCAUAGAUAUCACUAGGAAUACCGAAAGCGAAGGCGAUCUGCUGGGACAUUACUGACGCUGAGGCGUGAAAGCGUGGGGAGCGAACAGGAUUAGAAACCCGAGUAGUCC